rnacentral:rRNA from 1 species
AUCCUCCUUGAGGCAGCAGUAGGGAAUCUUCCACAAUGGGCGAAAGCCUGAUUUAUCCCCUCCUCGUGUUUUAAGAAGGUCUUCGGAUCGUAAAACCCUGUUGUUAGAGAAGAAAGUGCGUGAGAGUAACUGUUCACGUUUCGACGGUAUCUAACCAGAAAGCCACGGCUAACUACGUGCCAGCAGCCGCGGUAAUACGUAGGUGGCAAGCGUUAUCCGGAUUUAUUGGGCGUAAAGGGAACGCAGGCGGUCUUUUAAGUCUGAUGUGAAAGCCUUCGGCUUAACCGGAGUAGUGCAUUGGAAAA